ACGCGAAACCUUUACAAUGCGCGAAAGCGUGAUAAGGAGACUCCGAGUGCUAGCGGGAAACCGUUAGCUUUUGUUAAGUAUAGAUAGCUUGACGAAUAAGGACUGGGCAAGACCCGUGCCAGCCGCCGCGGUAAUACGGGCAGUUCAAGUGGUAUCCGUGUAUAUUGGGCUUAAAGCGUCCGUAGCUCGUUUGGAAAGUCUUUGGUGAAAGCCCGCAGCUCAACUGCGGGAAGUGCCAGGGAAACUUCUAGACUCGGAGGCGGGAGAGGUCAGGGGUACUUCUGGGGUAGCGGUAAAAUGUGUUAAUCCCGGAAGGACCACCGGUAGCGAAGGCGCCUGACUAGAACGCGCUCGACAGUGAGGGACGAAGGCCAGGGGAGCAACCCGG
rnacentral:rRNA from 1 species